CAGAAGAGACAUUCAUUUGUGCGGCCCAGUGACUAAGCCAGAGUUCUGGAAUUUAUCAUUCCAGAAGGUUCCAUGGCCAAUUUCACUGGUAGGCAGGGGGCAUGUGAGUUCACUGGAGCCAGAAGAGGCUUUUAGAAGCUGUGGGGGCUGCUUGCCAGGAAUAAGGGAAGACAGCUAGGCCCAGCCUGGUUUGCAUUCAUUAGUCCCACGUAAAUCACAGGCUCUGCGCAAGGACCCCUUCUCCAGGGAAGGAUUUGACAGGGACCAGAUAGACGAAGUUGACCAAGAUGCUCCGAGCAUCCAACCACGUGUGCCAACCAGGCUCCUACGUGUCUACAGCUGCUAGAAAGCAGGAAGCAUUGGGGUUGAAGUAUUUUCUGGCCAGGACUCUACUGUUACCUCUGCCAGGGGCCAUAAGAAACUGGGACGUCCCUUAUUGUCCACUUGUCUCACCCUGAGCCCCCCUCCAAGCAUGAUUGCUUUCUUAGAAAUCGGCUGACUUUAAGAAAGUGCAGAAAGCAAAAGAAUCCGGCCUAGGGGUUCCAGGCACAAGAAAGCUCUGAGCAGACCCUCGCUGCAUGCCCGACCAGUAAGACUUCCCUUACAGGACAAGAGCCACAAACAAGAAGUGUCAACAAGGGCCUUGCACGCAUACGGUGGACAGUUUCUAACUGGUCCCAUGAACAUCACUCAUGCUAAAAUGAAUGGAAGCAAAGAGACUCUUGGUUUUGGGCCUUCCUGCCCCACUAGGCCAGGACCAUCUCCUCAUCUCCUGCAGGCACACUCUCGGCAUCCCGUGUGGCCUCCUGCCCCCUCCUCCUCAGGCCUGGGCCCCGUCGCUCAUCGUAGAGGACACCACCGAUGGUAAGCCCAGCGACGCAGGCACAGCUGCCAUCCCAUCCUACAGACGGGGAGACUGAGGCUCGGAGAAGUGAAGCGGUCCAAGCCCGCUGCCAGUAUGUUAAACCCCACCGGCCGGCUCCAGAGCUUUGGCUCGUGCCUUG